UUUAGGUGGUACAAAUGUAGUCACAAGGUUAUUUUUGAGAAGGGCAAAAGAGUGAGAGUCAGACAAAGAGACAUGAUGACGAGCAGAAGGAGAUUUUAAGAUGGAGGAAGGGGCCAUAAAACAAGGAAUGCAAGUGGCUUCUAGAAGCUGAAGUGAAUUCUUCCACAGAAUCUCUAGAAGAAUGCUGCCAACACUUCAAGUUUGACUUCUGACCUCCAAAAAUGUAAGAUGACAAAUGGAAACAGAAACUACUCUAGAUCAUAGUAAAUCAAAACUGUCUGCGAGAAUUCCCCAUCCCACCACCUUGUAUGAAGGCCAGCUUAUGAUCAUAGAUUCUUAGUGGAGACUUAUCCCCCUCAAGCUAGUAUUAAGGCCAAGGUAAGCAAGUCGCUGGCUGAUGCCUCUUUUCACCUGUAAAAUUAAGCACUGGAAGUAUACAUAUGAAGAAAGCCAGCCUCCAAAUAUAAAUGGCCUGCACAAAGAUAUACAGCUACAGAAUGCCAUGCACAAGUUGCCA